CAGGCCUAACACAUGCAAGUCGAACGGAAAGGCCCUUCGGGGUACUCGAGUGGCGAACGGGUGAGUAACACGUGGGUGAUCUGCCCUGCACUUUGGGAUAAGCCUGGGAAACUGGGUCUAAUACCGAAUAUGACUGCGCUCUUCAUGGGGUGUGGUGGAAAGCUUUUGCGGUGUGGGAUGGGCCCGCGGCCUAUCAGCUUGUUGGUGGGGUAAUGGCCUACCAAGGCGACGACGGGUAGCCGGCCUGAGAGGGUGACCGGCCACACUGGGACUGAGAUACGGCCCAGACUCCUACGGGAGGCAGCAGUGGGGAAUAUUGCACAAUGGGCGCAAGCCUGAUGCAGCGACGCCGCGUGAGGGAUGACGGCCUUCGGGUUGUAAACCUCUUUCAGCAGGGACG
rnacentral:rRNA from 1 species